UUUGUUUUUGAGUGCAUGCAAGCAUGAUUCCGCCUUUAAUUGUUAAUUGCAUGCUAUAUGAUGUUGCUUGAAUGAACAUGUUUUUCAAAAUAAAUCCUUCAAGUGGUAUCAGAGCCUAGGUCUAGUAGUUGGUGAAUCCUUUUGGGUGUAGUUCAUAAGUUUAUGAUCUAAAAGUUGUAAUUGUUACAAGCUUUAUUCUUGCUUCUUUGAAUGAAAAUUUUGUUUGAAAAUUUGCCAUCUCAAAUGUUGUAGAUGUAGUUCAUAUGAGGAUGAAUAUUGGAGCUAAAAUUUGGUGCCAUGAUUUUAGGGAUUUUCGGCCAAAUCCAAAGGGUGAUUUUUUGGGUUCAUGUUUGUCUUGUUAAAAAUGUUUUAAGGUGACUUUUGGAACCCCUAAGUACCCUAGGAUGUUAGCACCAUUUUGAAUGGUAAAAAUUUGAGUUUUAUUGCAUGAAAACAUUCAUGGAGCUCUUAUGGGUUUUCAUGGAUGUU
rnacentral:lncRNA from 1 species